rnacentral:RNase_P_RNA from 1 species
UGAGCGAGUCGGAUGGCUACCCGAAAGGGAGGAAAGUCCGGGCACCACAGAGCAUGGUAGUCACGAAAUGUGACCGGUUGAAAGGCCCGAGCCAGUGCCACAGAAACAAAACUGCCUAAGCCAAGCAAUUGGCCGGUGAUGGUGAAAAGAGUGGGGUAAGAGCCCACAGCAUUUGUUAGCGAUAACAAAUGGAGGUAAACCUUACCUGGUGCAAGUUCGGUGGGCCAAAGUUUUCCUAAGUUGUGUCAUAUAUCUUUGCGAAAGCAAGGAUUGGCUCUAAGUUAGAGAAGUGUUGCUCGCACUGGAAACUGCGGUCCGGACGCAUAGAUAGAUGGUCAUCGAAAUCCCGCCUUGGCGGGACGAACAGAACCCGGCUUAUAGACUCGCUUAGCAA